rnacentral:rRNA from 1 species
GACGAACGCUGGCGGCGUGCUUAACACAUGCAAGUCGAACGGAAAGGCCCUGCUUUUGUGGGGUGCUCGAGUGGCGAACGGGUGAGUAACACGUGAGUAACCUGCCCUUGACUUUGGGAUAACUUCAGGAAACUGGGGCUAAUACCGGAUAGGAGCUCCUGCUGCAUGGUGGGGGUUGGAAAGUUUCGGCGGUUGGGGAUGGACUCGCGGCUUAUCAGCUUGUUGGUGGGGUAGUGGCUUACCAAGGCUUUGACGGGUAGCCGGCCUGAGAGGGUGACCGGCCACAUUGGGCCUGAGAUACGGCCCAGACUCCUACGGGAGGCAGUAGUGGGGAAUAUUGCACAAUGGGCGGAAGCCUGAUGCAGCAACGCCGCGUGCGUGAUGACGGCCUUCGGGUUGUAAACCGCUUUCGCCUGUGACGAAGCGUGAGUGACGGUAAUGGGUAAAGAAGCACCGGCUAACUACGUG